rnacentral:lncRNA from 1 species
CUUUGUUCAGAGAGCACAAGUCCAGAAAGCCUGAAGCAAAUACCAGAAGUAACCAGUGCCCAACAGAGAAACCAAAGAGACCCAGUCUGCUUGUAGGAAAGUCAUAUUUCAGCUCUUGUGUUUAUGAAUCUGCUGUUUCCACCACUGUACUUGGCACUGCUGCCUCCUAUUGUGAAUGCUGCUGCAAAUGCUAGGCACUCUCAGCACUAUGUGUUUUCCUUUACAGCAAGAUCUGCACAACACUUUUGCAGUCAGGUCUUCCCUGUGGAUCCUGCAGAGCUGCCUUAUGCUGGGGCUCAGACAAGUGACAAUAAAGAUGCCACCCAGGAGGUUUAUCAUGUGAUGUGAAAGCAGCAGGAUAAGAUGGAGAGACUGAAUCAUGGUGAGACAACUUACAGGAAGAGCUGUCCUUUGUGGAAAUCAGUUGUACAGUACCCAAUGUUCACCAGGAGAUCACACUCCUUUGCUGGAGCCAGGGGCUGCCGGUUCAGCUGGAAACCACAGUGCUUCUGGAUGACGUUUUCCUCUCCUCCCACUGAAUCAGCCUUUUAUUUACCCAUUGGAAUGCAAAGUAACAGGACACCCUG